rnacentral:tRNA from 1 species
GUCUGGGUGGUGUAGUUGGUUAUCACGCUAGUCUCACACUCUAGAGAUCCACAGUUCGAACCUUGGCUCAGACA